GAUGAACGCUGGCGGCGUGCCUAAUACAUGCAAGUCGAGCGAACAGACGAGGAGCUUGCUCCUCUGACGUUAGCGGCGGACGGGUGAGUAACACGUGGAUAACCUACCUAUAAGACUGGGAUAACUUCGGGAAACCGGAGCUAAUACCGGAUAAUAUAUUGAACCGCAUGGUUCAAUAGUGAAAGACGGUUUUGCUGUCACUUAUAGAUGGAUCCGCGCCGCAUUAGCUAGUUGGUAAGGUAACGGCUUACCAAGGCAACGAUGCGUAGCCGACCUGAGAGGGGGUCCGGCCCACAUGGACCUGAAACACGGUCCAGACCCCUACGGGGGGCAGAAGUAGGGAAUCUGCCGAAAGGGGGGAAAGCUUGCCGGAGAAACGCCGGGGGAGUGAAGAAGGUUUUCGGAUCGUAAAACCCUUUUAUUAGGGAAAAAAAAAUGGGUAAGUAACUAUGCCCGUCUGGACGGUACCUAACCAAAAAGCCCCGGCUAACUACGU
rnacentral:rRNA from 1 species